rnacentral:misc_RNA from 1 species
UUUCCGUAGGUGAACCUGCGGAAGGAUCAUUCAUAAUAAAGUGUUUUAUGGCACUUUUUAAAAAUCCAUAUCCACCUUGUGUGCAAUGUUUGAUCUCGUCAAUCUUGGCGAGAUUUUUAUACAUCAACUCAUUCUUUAACUAAAUUGUCUGAAAAAUAUUAUGAAUACUUAAUUCAAAAUACAACUUUCAACAACGGAUCUCUUGGCUCUC